GACGAACGCUGGCGGCGUGCUUAACACAUGCAAGUCGAACGGAAAGGCCCUGCUUUUGUGGGGUGCUCGAGUGGCGAACGGGUGAGUAACACGUGAGUAACCUGCCCUUGACUUUGGGAUAACUUCAGGAAACUGGGGCUAAUACCGGAUAGGAGCUCCUGCUCCAUGGUGGGGGUUGGAAAGUUUCGGCGGUUGGGGAUGGACUCGCGGCUUAUCAGCUUGUUGGUGGGGUAGUGGCUUACCAAGGCUUUGACGGGUAGCCGGCCUGAGAGGGUGACCGGCCACAUUGGGACUGAGAUACGGCCCAGACUCCUACGGGAGGCAGCAGUGGGGAAUAUUGCACAAUGGGCGGAAGCCUGAUGCAGCAACGCCGCGUGCGGGAUGACGGCCUUCGGGUUGUAAACCUCUUUCGCCUGUGACGAAGCGUGAGUGACGGUAAUGGGUAAAGAAGCACCGGCUAACUACGUG
rnacentral:rRNA from 1 species